GCCUCUAUAGCUCAGUUGGCAGAGCAUUAGUUUCGUAAACUAAAGGUCUCCGGUUCAAACCCGGGUGGGGGCU